UGGGGGAUAUUGCACAAUGGGCGAAAGCCUGAUGCAGCGACGCCGCGUGGGGGAUGAAGGCUUUCGGGUUGUAAACCUCUUUCGCUAUCGAACAAGGACCGCUUAGGGUGGGUGGAGGGUAGGUGGAGAAGAAGCGCCGGCUAACUACGUGCCAGCAGCCGCGGUAAUACGAAGGGCGCGAGCGUUGUCCGGAAUUAUUGGUCGUAAAGGGCUUGUAGGCGGCUUGUUGCGCCUGCUGUGAAAACGCGGGGUUUAACUUCGCGCGUGCAGUGGGUACGGGCAGGCUUGAGUGUGGUAGUGGUGACUGGAAUUCCAGGUGUAGCGGUGGAAUGCGCAGAUAUCUGGAGGAACACCGAUGGCGAAGGCAGGUCACUGGGCCAUUACUGACGCUGAGGAGCGAAAGCAUGGGUAUCGAACAGG
rnacentral:rRNA from 1 species